ACCCAGCUCUGUGCUUGGUUCUGAUUGUGUGAACUGGCUCCUGACAUUAAAGGAUUCACAGAAAGGGGAAAGUGAAGAGAGGUAAGUAACAUAAGUCAAAUAUGAGAAUUAUACAGUAAAAAAAAAAAUGUAGUAUUCUAUGGCAACGCAGCUGAAAGCAUACAGCCAGGAAAAGCCCUCAGAGCUCAUCUGAGGAAGAGCUGGCGUGGACUCCUGUCUGAUAAGCCUUUCCCAUUCCUCCCUUCCAGCCUCGGUUUUCCCUUCUGUCUCAUGAGCUUGCACUUGCUUUAUAACAGCUGGAGAAACUGUAUGGACAACGUCAGUCAUGGUGCUGACCACCCGGCCAUCCCUUCCCAAAGACUUGUCCUCUUCUUGCCGCUGUGCUAAGGAAAGAUGGCACCCUCUCCCAUGCAAAGAUGAGCGUGUCUUUCCUCCUCAUCAGGCCAAGGCAGCUCUAUCUCCAAAUUGAGCAGGGUCCCUGAUGUCACACUCCACCCCAAGAACCCAGGCCACAUCCUACAGUGAACAGCCACCGUUGAAGUGCGGGAGUUGCAGUGGAUUUCUUGCUUGGUGGACCAUGAUGCGCUCUGCCGCGUACAAUCCAAAUGCCUCCCACGGGAAGGAAGAGAGAACUUCCUGUUGGUCCCGCCCUCCCCAAGGGCAGAACACAGGGCCAGGCUGGUGCAGGACUUACUUUCGUGGUGUUUAGUGAUAAAAGAUGAAACCAGGACCCCUAGG
rnacentral:lncRNA from 1 species